CAUCACGUUGAAACACCGAUCCCCGUACGAUUACCGAAGUUAUGCAACGUUGAGCCUGGUUAGUAUCGAGAUGGGUGACCAUUUGGAAAGACCAGGUACUGUAA